AAAAUCCUCUGCUCCAGUCCAGCCUGCUCUCACUUUAUGAAGGAAGAGAAUGAGGUGGAGGGACAGGAAAUAACUUGCCUAGGGUCCCACAGGUAAUUGGUGGCUAACAUGGAUUGGAAGGAAGAUUAGCCCUCAGCUAACAUCUGCUGCCAAUCCUCCUCUUUUUGCUGAGGAAGACUGGCCCUGAGCUAACAUCCGUGCCCAUCUUCCUCUACUUUAUAUGUGGGAUGCCUACCACAGCAUGGCUUGCCAAGCGGUGCCAUGCCUACAACCGAGAUCCGAACUGGUGAACCCCCGGCUGCCGAAAAGCGGAAUGGGUGAACUUAACUUCUGUGCCUCCGGGCCGCCCCCGAUUUUUGUCUCUUUUUAUGGCUGAGUAGUAUUCCAUUGUCUCUAUAUACCACAUCUUCUUUAUCCAUUCAUCUGUAGAAGGGCAUUUGGGUUGCUUCCACCUCUUAGCUAUUGUGAAUAAUCCUGCAAUGAACAUAGAGGGGCAUAAAUCUCUUUGGAUCAUUGAUUUCAAGUUCUUUGGAUGAAUACCCAGUAGUGGGAUAGCUGGAUGGUAUAGUAUUUCUAUUCUUAAUUUUUUGAGAAAUCUCCCUACUGUCUUCCAUAGUGGCUGUACCAGUUUUCAUUCGUGAGUGGAGUAAUUUUGGAAGGAUCCUUUUUGUGGUGAUUCAGUGCCUCUUUUAGGAAAGCAUUCUACUGCUUCACACAUUUCAUGUUCAAUAAAAUUUUACUAAGCCCCAACCUGGACUGGCUUUGAUGCUGUUUAAAUUCCUGUAUUGGUGUUCUUUCAGUGGAAGAGGGUAGCGAUGCUCCUCCCAGCAAUUAAAAUGUACACUUUCAAAUCCUGCACCUAAAGGUCAGUAUUUAGUGGACCAAUUGGAAAAAGGAAGACAAGUUCUCCUAACUCCAUUCAGUGUAAAAGGGAAACUUACUACCACUCCUGUGGUCAAGGUGUAUUUUUUGGAUUAUUUUAUUAUUUUUUGGUGAGGAAGAUUGGCCAUGAGCUAACAUCCCUUGCCAAUCUUCCUCUUUUUGCUUGAGGAAGAUUGUCCUUAUUGCCAAUCCUCCUG
rnacentral:lncRNA from 1 species